UACGUAGGGUGCGAGCGUUGUCCGGAAUUACUGGGCGUAAAGAGCUCGUAGGUGGUUUGUCGCGUUGUCCGUGAAAACUCACAGCUUAACUGUGGGCGUGCGGGCGAUACGGGCAGACUGGAGUACUGCAGGGGAGACUGGAAUUCCUGGUGUAGCGGUGAAAUGCGCAGAUAUCAGGAGGAACACCGAUGGCGAAGGCAGGUCUCUGGGCUGACACUGACGCUCAUGCACGAAAGCGUGGGGGAGCAAACAGG
rnacentral:rRNA from 1 species